GAUGAAGAACGCAGCGAAAUGCGAUAAGUAGUGUGAAUUGCAGAAUUCAGUGAAUCAUCGAAUCUUUGAACGCACAUUGCGCCCCUUGGUAUUCCAUGGGGCAUGCCUGUUCGAGCGUCAUUUGUACCUUCAAGCUUUGCUUGGUGUUGGGUGUUUGUCUCGCCUCCGCGUGUAGACUCGCCUCAAAACAAUUGGCAGCCGGCGUAUUGAUUUCGGAGCGCAGUACAUCUCGCGCUUUGCACUCACAACGACGACGUCCAAAAGUACAUUUUUACACUCAUGACCUCGGAUCAGGUAGGGAUACCCGCUGAACUUAAGCAUAUCAAUAAGCGGAGGA
rnacentral:misc_RNA from 1 species